GUUUAUCUCUUAGGUGGUUUUGCUGGGCAAGAUUGAGAAGUAUAUCUGAAAUGUCAAAAUAGAUUUGUUCAUUGGGCUUACAUGUUUUACAAUGCUUUACAUGCUGAGCAAGCUUCUAAAUGAACUGUAAGGAGCUGAUCAAUGCAGCUAAACAGGUGUUACACUAAAAUAACAUUUAUUACAAGCAUUGCUACUUUUGCUACAUGUUAAUACACCCUCUGGGAACCACUUCAAAAAUCACU